rnacentral:lncRNA from 1 species
GAUGGAGGAUCGGAUUUGUGGAUAUGAGCAGGCUGAGCAGGAGUGGGAGGCUGAGAGGCAGAGGGCGGCAGAAGAAUUGCAGAGGAUGGAGAACCGGGCUCGCCGCUCUGAAGAGGAAGCUCUUCGUCUGCGAAAGAGACUGUGGCCGGAUGAGGGGAAGAAGGAAUCUUAUUCCGAGGGUGGGUGCUUUGGAGGUGGCUCCCAGGAGCAGGACACCAGGAGCAACAGGGCAAUCUACAUAGUGAUAGCAGUGCUGGCUGUUCUAUUUUUCCUUCGUGAGCAUUUCAGCCUGGAGUGAAGGAGCAGCACUCAGCCUGGGCCGCCUCUGCUGUUCUGGGGGGAAGUCAGACACAGAAAGCAGGAUUGGAGAGAGUUGGGGAGGGUGUGAAAAGAUCAGGUAUGGUGAACCAUCUCGGCCGUGAGGU